rnacentral:rRNA from 1 species
UACAGAGGGUGCGAGCGUUGUCCGGAAUUACUGGGCGUAAAGGGCGCGUAGGCGGCCCGAUAAGUAGGACGUGAAAUUCCGUGGCUUAACCACGGAACUGCGUUCUAGACUGUCAGGCUUGAGCACGGUAGAGGCAGAUGGAAUUCCCGGUGUAGCAGUGAAAUGCGUAGAGAUCGGGAGGAACAUCUGUGGCGAAGGCGGCCAUCUGGACCAGCACUGACACUGAGGCACGAAAGCGUGGGGAGCAAACAGG